CCCGCGCCCGCUUGGACAGCUCCGCGGCGGCGGCUGCUCCGGCUGCCACCUCCGCGUCCUCCUCCCGAAGCGAGGGGCUCCCCCGCCUCGUCACGCCGCCGGCUCCAUGGGGUCGGACCGGAGCCUCUCCUCUCCGCCGCCCCCGGUGGUGCCCGGCGCUCCUCGGGGCGCUCCGCCGCUCCCGUCCGGCGACGCUCCGGGAGACGCCGAGGUCUCCUCUCGCCGUCCGGCUUAUCCCCGUCAGCGCUCGGCUCCUCGCGGCGGCGCGGGCAGCAGCCGGGUGACGGGGGUUAUUGGGGUUAUUGUCAUUAUCUCCCUCUUCCCCUGUGGUUCUGCGUCUCUCCACCACUUUCAGACCAGCCCAUUAUAACGCCGGCGAGAGGCGGAGCCAGGACGGAGAUCUGAAAGGGUGGUGGGUGGGGAAGCAAAGGUAGCAAAGGUGGGUAUGCCCUAAUAGCCGUAUCGGAGCCGCAAUUAGCCCAGAUGACAGCGAGGUCUGGUUGGAAAGUCUUAUUUAUUUAUUUAUUUAUUUAUUUAUUUUAUGAAACGCGAGUGUAUUUUCUCCUGCCGGCUGCCUCCUCCACGCCGGCCGCUCCGAGCGGAGCAGAUCUCCACGGGAUCCGGAGCUCCAGCCCCGCUCCAGGUGCAGCGUGCGGAGCGGCUCAUAGGUGGCAGAGCAGAACCUGCCGCGCCUCGAUCUGCGCUCUCGGCGCCGCGCAGAGCGGCUCGUUGCGAUGUAUGUGACAGCGCAACAACCUGUUGGAACACCGCGCCGCUCCGCAGCUGGGGAUCCCUCGUGGUUUGUGUGGGCCGACGGCCUCGGCCCCUCUCCCCUGCCGUCAUAACAAGGGUGCAGGGCGAGGUGGGAGCAGGUAGGCAGCGCUGCGUGACGGGAGAGGCUGCCACAGCUUUACCCUUGGCUUUGAGCGUGCUGCUGAUGCCUUCCGAUGGCUGUGCGCAGUGUUAGAGCUGUCGCUCUCCAAUAAAAUCUUUUAUUGUGUUUUUUUCUUUUUUUCUUUUUUAAAAAGCGACUUUGCUUUAACUUUUUCCUAACGCUGCGACUAUAAGUCUUCCAUGAAACCCGGGACGAAGCGCUCUGUGACUUUAUCUGGCUGCUUUUCUUCCGAGACAAAAUAACCACGAUUGUCCAUUCGCUUUCAGCUCUGCGCUCGUCGUGGUCUUACGCCCCUUUCUGAGGGCAGAUGUUCAGUCCCCUCCAGCAGUGCUGGAUGGGACGCUUCAACGAUGAGAGGGAGACAGCAGUAACUCCACUGAAAACUUCAGUCCUACCCUGCUGUCCAUUCAAAGUCAAUUGCAAAACCCCUUUUUGACUCCAUACGGCAGUAAAGCUGGCGUCUGCAGAACAGUACCAAAACAAAAACAUCAGCAGAAAUCCAGAGUGGUGCUUCUAUUCUAUUUCUCUUAUGGACACUUUGAAUGUCGUGUCCUGGAGUAAGAGUUGGAUUGCUCCAUGUUUUCCAAAAGCAGUCUUUCUGAAUCAGCCCUUAUUUUAGGAUGGAUGCUCCAAAAUGCAGCGUCACUCUGGCUGGGACUAUGCCGUGCCCCAGCUGCCAAGGCGUGCCGGAGAGGAACUUAAAAGAAGGCAGAUUUGAAAGACCCUCAGAAGAAACAAACAGCCCUACUUUCGUUCCCCAUCUCUUUUGAAUAGAAGAAACAUUCCCACACACACCUGCACAACAUUUCAAAGCUUUGCCAUUUUUUUUUUCCCAGCCUCAUAUUGAGUCUUAAAUACUAAACAGUAAGAGGUCCCCCUGUCCUUUUUGGUCAUACUCUUUCUAACUUUAAUAAUGGGUUUGAUGCCUUCCUGUUCCCACUAAAGCUGUAGCAGUUGAGAAAAAUGGGCAAUUGAGGAACAAAAAUAAGAGGAGGGAGACCUCUCUUGGCUUCUUGUUGUUCUCCCCGCGCAAUGUAAACUGAGAUCUUUCAGUGAAGCACUGCGUUAGCUGUAGGUGCCAAUGUUUGUGUUUAAGGGUAUGGGAAAAAGCCAUCGUUCCUUCCAAAACUCGUGUUUUCUAAGAUGAUGCCAGUGGCGAGGGUAGGUUUUUCCUCUUCCUGCUUUUGUUAUAAAUGGCAGCAAAGUAGUGAUGAUUUUCUAGCUUACCUUUGAUGUUUAUUUUAUUACCGUUCCACUAUUUGUGUGGAAAAUGUACACAUUGUCUCUUAUCUUUAUUCAAAGAACUUAAAAAGUCAUUCAAAUGCUGUAGGUAAACACGUCAGACAUAACAGAAGCUUUUCACAGCCAUACUUCAAGACAAGGAGUGGAUGGCAAAGCUGGUUUUGCAGGAUUUAAGAGAGGACAGGAGCUUGUGCUCAAAAUAACACAAUUAGAGAUAGCUAUUAGUGGCUAUUAGUGGAGUGGGGGUACCUUCCUAAGAUCAACGUUGAUUCUUGUGUGGGCUCAAGGCCUCCGUGCUGCCUCUCAGCCAAUCCCUGUGUAAAUUGACCCAGGAAUCCAAUGUGGCUCCUACCUGGGAAAACACAUGAAGGUGCUUACGUGAGGGCUGAGCAUGGUUUAAAGAGAACCUUCCCAAGCCAAGCAGGAGUGAAGUCAAGACCGCUGCUAUUGCUGCCCAUGAAGGAAUGGGUGUAGUUUUAAGAAGAGGCAAAGUAGUACAACUGCUCCUGUCUCUCACCACUGAGAGUGUAUGUAACCUCAAGUCUUUUCCUGCUAUAGUUUUUUAAAAGGCACAGUAUCGCCUUCAGGUUUAUAAAGAUUAACACAAUCAUCGGAAAAACUGAUUCUGUUAAGUAAACUUCACAUCAAAAGCGCUUUGAUGUGCUGUGUUAUAGCAAAGCCAAACACUCCACCCCCAUCACCCCAAGAAAAACCUCCAAAAACCUUUUAGUGAAGCAAUGUGAAAAAAAAUCCAGAUUCUUUGUUCUAAAAUGGAAUGUCUCUUCCUCUUGAGAGCAGCAGAGCAGCACUUUUUUUUUUGAUGUAUGACCCCCUCUUUUCCUACCCAAAACAGUACCUAAUCAAAAACAAAGAAAAGAAACGUGAAUGGUGCGUCACAAAUCACACACACAGCUUUACUUCCCAUUUUCUUUAGUAUUUGACUCCUUUAUUUCAGAGUUUGCCAAUGAGUGUUUGAAGGAAAGGAAAUUUGCUCAACCUUUAAGUUCUGGAAUUAUCCCCCACUAAAUGUAGCAAAAUGCUACACCGUUGUGUGGUUUUGGGUAUGUUUUUGGUCUACCCCAUUGUGUUACUUUCGUGGUACUUUAAGCCAAGAUUUGACUGUACACUCCAGCGAAUAUUACGUAAAGGUGGGUUGCUCUAUGGACUUGAUUUUAUUAUUACUACUAUUUUUGAUCUUUCUUUUUCACUUGAUCCUUUCUUACUCUCUUUUCUGUCCCUUGUCCCUCCAGAUGGCUAACUAGAUUAGAGAGUACUUCCAGAUAAGAUCUUAUAAGCACAGUUGGUCAACAAAUACCUCUGUGUUGACUGGGCGAGUCUUAUAGCUAGUGGUAGGCAAGCUUAUUUGUACAUCUGAGAUGUCCGGCACAGCAGCUGGACAAAGUGCUUCAUCAUCUCUUUUCCUCCUCCUGUAGAAAGCUGCAGGAGUGCUGUGCCUUGCCAGGAAUGAUGAAAUUGGACAAUGCAAUACGCUACACGAACAACAAUAGACCAGUUCAAAGAGUUCUCUUUGGAUGGGCUGCUCACAGCAGGAGACUUGCCUAGCAUGCAUAAAUGAACUACAGAGUCUGUGGAGGUUGGCUAAUUACACUAUAUACAUUUUUAUAGUUGAAGGAAAUCCAGCUGGAGACUAAGCUGUAAGAAAGGAGGUCAGUGGAAAUUCAUUUAGACCUUGAGAGGAAGAGUUUGAUCACUGAGGUAGAAUGCAUGUCUGCGUGAAUCCCCUCAUUGUGAACUCUACGGAUUUGCACUUUUCCACAGGAACAAGCAUUCCCUUGGGGUAGGGAUUCCCAUGUGUCUUUGGCAAAUAUCGAGAGCUGAAUUUACAGUGGGGACUUCCAUUUUGACUUGUUUUUUUAUAACACAAUGUUUAGUUUCUUGGGAGUUGUUGCUUGAGAAGAAAUUUUCCCAUGCCCAAAGACUUAGAAUCAUUUCCUCCCUGUGCCCACUUCACGUCCCAUUCAAAAGUCCUCAUCUCAGCAAAUUUUUCCUUUGUACUGGAUUGUGACAGAAUGGGCAGGGACAGAUUUUUCCCCUGUGAAGAGGAUGACAUUAUUGCUGUUGUUACUAAUGCUUCGUACUACAAAAGUAAUUCCGUGUUCUCACACUGUCCUUCCCACACAGAUCUCAGAGCUCACCCAGUUUACAGCCAAGAGGAGUGAAGGGGAGAUGUCCUGCUGAAAUCUGUUUGGCAAGUCAGUAGCAACGCCGUCUGUAGAACUGAGCUCUUCAGAGUCUUCAUCCUGUGCUGUAUCCACUGAGGUAUCCCCUGCGAGGCCUAAUCAGAAGUGUUGUGCCAUUUAGCAACCGCUGCCGGAACUGGAAUCGUGCUGUCAUGAGUCUCAGAUAACUUACAGGCUUUCCUCGUGGAUGAUUACCUGGUUUCAUCUAACUGCAGCAAGAGAAAGAAAAUCCAAAUGCUGAAGGACUUACAGGCUUGUGGAUCUCUUUGAGAAGAUUAUAACAGCUAGAAAGAAACCGAUACAAGAUGAAAGCACAAGUAUUGAUAAGUCCGAAUGUAAUUAUCAGGACAGAACUGCUUGCUAAGAGACAGACUCCGCAAUUACAAGUUGUGUUGUGUUAUGUUUGUUACGAAGUUAUGAUUCAGAAGCUGUUUGGUGAAAUCCUGUGGCUCUUUGCCAGGAAUGGUGAAUGUUUCUCGUUACUGGUGCCAAACAAACUAAAAAAGAAACCAUCAUAGCUUCUUACUGCUGGUGCCAGACCAAAUACCUGUUGGCACCAAACUUGGUAUUGGUGCCAAAGGCUUGCUAUCACUGGCCUGUGAUAUGAGGAAACACUGGCUGAGUUGUCACAGUAGCCUUUUAUUGCCUCUACGUCCAUGCAUUGAGCAGAGUGAGCAACAUGGUAGGAGUACAAGAAAAUUAAUCGAAAGCUGAAGGGCUUUGAAUGUGUAAUGAAGUCACUGAACUUUGCUAGCCCUUUCUGGAAUCACCUAAGCCAGUUCAAAAACAUAUGUAUUUUACAUGGGUAAACAAGUGACUAGAGAUAGCGAAGGAUAUGUUUCCAUUCAAUUGAGUUACAGUACUAUUUAUAGCACUGUGGAUUAACAAAUGAGUCACCCUGCCAAUAAUAUUCCAGCUGAAUAACAAUAAGUAUUCCACAUUCUUAUUUCUGUUUUUUUUUUUUUUUUUUAAAUUUAUGUUCUUUGUUUUCAAAAAGCUUUUUUUUCUGUGUGGAAUCCAUUUGUUUAUAUAAGCAUUAACCAAAAAUGUGAAUAAAUAAUGGUGUAAAAAACUUGGAAUUUUGUUGUUGUGUUUUGUUGUUGUUGUUGUUUGUUUUCUCUUGUUUUGUUUGUCAGGAUCAAGUGAACUGCAUUAUUCAGGAGCAGGCUGCAGUGGCCUUCCUGAGGUUCCACAGAAAUAAAUAGGAGGCUUUACUUUCAGUGCAACCUAUGUAUGUGAAUUCUGCUUUCCAGAGAGUGAGUUCUCAGAACUGCUGCCUGAAAUUGUAAAUGCCUACACAUGUUGUCACAUCAAGGGCUUGUCAUCAUCUCAACUCAAAGCAGGUGUUUGCAACACAUGAAGCAAUCACCUGGGAUACGCUAGAGAGCUCUACAUGUAUUUGAGCCUGGAUACUGCUCACUCAUUAUCCUUGCUGAUGCAGAAGGUCUGUUUUGUAACAUCUUUCUAUGAAAAGCUAGAACAUCAGUGCUUGCUCCUGGAAAAGAUCAGUUCAGGAAGCUCUGCCUUCAUGGAGCCCUGGCUGUGAGGCUUGAGCAUUGCUACCCUCAACCCCUGCUUAUGGAGCCUGAACAAGUUAUGUGCCUGAAGGACCCAUGCUACCAGACCAACUCUCAUUGGGUCUGGAAGCCGAGUUGCCGUGCCUUGCAUCUCUCCUCCCAGCAUUAUUUACUGCAGUGAGAACUUGCUGCUUGUGUAGAUGGAACAAAUGAUCGUGGGAUGGGGUCUGCCCCACAAGGAUGCCAGUCAGGGUCAGAUCUUUAUACUUCUGUGCAAGCCAACACAAGUAUUCCUACUGGGACCAUUUUGCCUGUAAGAGCCAAAGAUUUUAAGGCUAGAUAUGAAUCAUGUUUUCCCAUAUGCAUAGAACAAGCCAUGGAGCAGCGCAGUGCAAUUUCUGCAUCAAGCCCAGCGCGACUAUUUGAACCCCAGCACCUUUUCAGAAAGCCAGCUGCAACUUCAAGCUGCAAGUGACAGCAAGUCUACAGCAUCCAUGUAUAAACUUACCCUGGCAUUGGAUUCUGAUCUGAAUUUCUUUAUCCUCAGCUCCAGAAUGUAAGCUGUCCUCAUGCUUCUCUUUUUUCCACAGACUGUUAAACUAAGAAGAUGUUGGAUAAUGGAAAAUUUCUAACUUUUUUUUCCAUCAGUUUAAGCAUUGUCACCCCACCUCAAGUCCCUCCUCCCCCAAUAAUCCAGUUAUUAUAUGUAUAUCUAAUCCAUUAAUUCAUUUCAUUUAUAAGAAAAGAUAAAAACACGAAAAGAUUAAAAUGAAUUGAUGUUCUCUGCCACACCCAGCCCAACACAUGCUCAGUCCAAGUUCUGAUACUAAAUCUUACUUCUCCAUUCAUAGAGUCAUAUUAUAGAAUCAAAGAAACAGAGAGCUGUUAAGGUUGGAAAAGAACUCUGAGACCAUCAAGUCCAUCCAUCAAUUCAUCACCACCAUGCCCACUAAACCACGUCCCCAAAUGGAAUCAUAGAAUCAUAGAAUAAUAAUCAUUCUGGAUUACAACAGUUUUCACCUUAUUUUGCAGCUCUUACUGCCAGCUUGCUAUCAGAGAAUAUUGCCUCAUAACUGCAUUUGAGGUGACUUCCAGUUGUGCUACAUGAUCCGAUCCUUACUAUGUAAGCCACCAAUGCAGUCAUGUCUUGUGGGAUUACUGCAAGAUUCAUCCAUGCUUGUAAUGCUAAGAUAAGACAAAGGCCAUCAAAGCAGAAUAUGUUAUUAAUUAGUAAUUAGAUAACUACAAUGAAUUAAAAUGGGUUGGAAGAAGUCUUUCAUUCUGCAUUGAACCCUUCUUUCGAAAUAAAGGGUGGUUUCCUUACAGGGAAAACCAUAAGAAAAAAAUCAAUCAAAAUAAACAUAUGCUAAUUAUACUCCUGGGCCUGCUUACAUGUCAAAACUAUUUUGAAAAUAUUGCUUCAUUGUUGAGGGUUAGUGUAGUUUAACAGCCAGUGGCGGAACAUGUCCUAAGUAGGGAUUUUCCAUUGCAUACAGCAAUUACAGACAAUUGACAUUUGAUUAUAAUAACCAGCAAACUUUCAUGAAAUAAAUGACACCUGAGCAAGUUUCAUAACCUUUUGCCUCGCCCCACCUUGGAAUGCGUCAGAGCUGCUUGAAGGCUAGGAAUGUUUCUUUCACUUGCAAACAGAAUUAUUUCAAACCAAGGGAGUGCAGAGCUGUCUGGAGACGGGCUCUGAUAGCCAGCCUGUGUACUGUGUCCAGUGGCUUUUAGACCUAUUUACUUAUGUGCUGUUCAGAAUACAUGGCAAGGAACAAAAUGACACAGGGCCUGGACUGUCUUCCACGUCUGUGUAGGGAUUGUAUCCUUGCAUCCAAAAAUGGAUCUAUUUCCUGGGUCUAUUCAACAAUGUCUUGUACUUACACCAGUUCUCUACUUACGUCAGUGAAGGAAGAGGCAAGGUGGUGCUUCCAAGUCAGGCUCAUUUUGCACAGGGAUGCAGAUAUCAUUCCAUUGUUUUUAGUGCCUGCAUUUUGAGCAGCAGCAGACACUGCACAACCACUCAGCUCUCUAACUGUUGGAAAUUUGCUUGCUUAAUGACCAAGUCCAGCUAAAUUACCAAAACUGCACAAAAAGUGUGCCAAGACAGUUAGAUCUGCUGGUGUCUCUGGCUAUGAAUAGUAAUGGGUGAAGACAUGGCACAAAAAAGACACAGCAUUGCUUCCAGCAAGGUUGGUAUAACUGUAUUUCCAUAGAUAGAAAGUUUCCAUUGCAAUCUCAGUCACACACAGUUCCCUCAUGGAAGCAAAGUUGACUUUAUUUGAAGUACAGCAACAAAGAAAAAGACUGAGAAAACAGAUUUGUACUAUCUCGAUGCUAGCUGGAGAAUGAAGCACUGCUACCACACUAUAUGCUGAGAUUUGUUGCCUAGAUUAUUGCUUUUCAGCACCUCCAAAUCUGUUCUUCCCUGCCAUAUAGCCACUGGUCUUCACUAUCAUCUAUUCUCCCUCUGGAUCUAAGGAGGUCACCAUCCCUGGAGGUGUUCAAGAAUUGUUUGGAUAUGGCACUGAAGGACAUGAUUUACCAGACAUGAUGGUGGUGGGUUGAUGGUUGGACUAGAUGAUCUUAUUGGUCUUUUCCAACCUUAAUGAUUCGAUGAUUCAUACUAAAGAGUGUAUCUGGAGCUGAGAAACGUUAGUCUAUCUUGCUUCUCUUCCUUUCUGCUAGGAAGGAACAAACCCUUGCAGUUGCAGCAGUCAAUGUAACUGAUGUGAAUCAGGAUAACAGAGGCAGCAUGGAUAGUGUCUGGAAGAUAUUUCAGAUACUUAACGGCUGCACAGUGCUGAGAACACUUUUACAAUGUAAUAGGACAAUAUUUAUUAGGUGCCUGGCAAUCCCAUUGUUUUGUGCCCACUCUCAGUUUUUGCUAUUUUUUAAGAGACUGUGAAGUUUAUUCAUCUUACAUGUAAUGAAGAGCUUAACUGUUCUGACACCUGAACUUUUGAGAACUCUUAAGAACUCUUAAUUGCUCAGCUUAGAAAAAGUCUAGGCCCAGCACAGAACAGAUGUAUAGUAAUAAACUUAUCUCAUAAUGUCAAAUGAUUAAACAGUGGAUUUUUUUUUACAUUUAAAUAUACAAGACUUUCCAUUAAGGGGCUUUGUUGACUCUGAUAACAG
ensembl:lncRNA